rnacentral:rRNA from 1 species
UACGUAGGGACCAAGCGUUGUUCGGAUUUACUGGGCGUAAAGGGCGCGUAGGCGGUUUGUCAAGUCAGUUGUGAAAUCUCCGAGCUUAACUCGGAACGGUCAACUGAUACUGUCAAACUAGAGUACAGAAGGGGCAAUCGGAAUUCUUGGUGUAGCGGUGAAAUGCGUAGAUAUUACCAGGAACACCAAUGGCGAAGGCAGCUUACUAAAGUAUGAUUGACGCUGAGGCACGAAAGCGUGGGGAUCAAACAGG